CCAGCUCCUAGAGGUGUUUCAGUUUUGAUUGCUGUAUCACAUGAGUGCCAUUACAUGGCAGAGGGGAAAGAGGCUAUGUCAAAGCUCAAUGCUCUAACCUGCGAAUGUCUGAAAGAUUACUGACCUAACAUU